rfam:Dipodomys ordii contig_63661, whole genome shotgun sequence.
GGUGGCUCAGUGGUAGAGCGCUUGCCUGCUUGCCUUGCAUGCAUGAGGCCCUGGGUUCAAUUCCCCAGCACCA